rnacentral:lncRNA from 1 species
GAGCUUGCAGCGGUGGUGACGAGCUUGCAGCGGCGGCGACGAGCAGAGGGGACAGAAGAAGAGAGAAGUGUGGCUGAAGGUCACGACUCGAGCCUGUGGCUGAAGCCUGAAGGUCACAACUCACGAGUUCGAUUUUUGCUUUUGGCUGAAGGUCACGACGAGUAGCGGCCAGCGGGAACCGAAGAAGUCACGACGAGCAGCGAGCCAGCGACCAGCCAGCGGGGGAAUCGAAGAAGACAGAAGUCAGAACUCAGAAGUUUAGAUUUAGAUUUUG